rnacentral:rRNA from 1 species
AUGAACGCUGGCGGCGUGCCUAAUACAUGCAAGUCGAGCGAACAGACGAGGAGCUUGCUCCUCUGACGUUAGCGGCGGACGGGUGAGUAACACGUGGAUAACCUACCUAUAAGACUGGGAUAACUUCGGGAAACCGGAGCUAAUACCGGAUAAUAUAUUGAACCGCAUGGUUCAAUAGUGAAAGACGGUUUUGCUGUCACUUAUAGAUGGAUCCGCGCCGCAUUAGCUAGUUGGUAUGGUAACGGCUUACCAAGGCAACGAUGCGUAGCCGACCUGAGAGGGUGAUCGGCCACACUGGAACUGAGACACGGUCCAGACUCCUACGGGAGGCAGCAGUAGGGAAUCUUCCGCAAUGGGCGAAAGCCUGACGGAGCAACGCCGCGUGAGUGAUGAAGGUCUUCGGAUCGUAAAACUCUGUUAUUAGGGAAGAACAAAUGUGUAAGUAACUAUGCACGUCUUGACGGUACCUAAUCAGAAAGCCACGGCUAACUACGU